UAUGGAUAAAAAAUAAAGAGACUCGAUAUAUAAGCGAGCGGCCAUUUGUAUUUCUCGUAAACGUCAUGUACAUUUAAAAAGUCAUCAAAAUUUCCAACAAACAAGGCGCUUAUGAUCCUCACAGGUUUUGGCUAAAUAUGAAGAUACGGACAACAAACAAUGGGU